AACGACAUGGCCGAGUGUUCAAGGUGAUGGAGUGCUAAUCUACUGUGCUUUACAUGCAUGGGUUUGACUCCCAUUCUCGUUG
rnacentral:tRNA from 1 species